ensembl:misc_RNA 7SK 7SK RNA
GGAAAAGCUAGGAUCCUGGCUAUGACAUCCAUUAUCCCCAUUGAUUUCUAGGACUUAGUUGUCUGAUCUUCCUGUCAGGAUAGUUGCUUCAUUUCUUUCUUAUCUACUCACCUUCUCCCAUCCUGAAGCUUUUUUCAGCUUCAGGAAAUGGCCUCCCUAAAGGUAAGACAUCAGUCUUUGGUUUAGGGUACAGCUGUAGCUAUUCUCCAUUACAAGAGUCUCCAAACAAGCUUCCAAGUGUCAUAUUUGAAUGAAGCUAUAAAUAAAGUGCUAAGAGAAUACAGAGUCCAGUAAGCGUAAUUUUUCGACCAUCUG